rnacentral:rRNA from 1 species
AGACCACCAGCUAAGGUCCCAAAAUAUAUGUUAAGUGGAAAAGGAUGUGGCGUUGCCCAGACAACUAGGAUGUUGGCUUAGAAGCAGCCAUCAUUUAAAGAGUGCGUAAUAGCUCACUAGUCGAGUGACACUGCGCCGAAAAUGUACCGGGGCUAAACAUAUUACCGAAGCUGUGGAUUGUCCUUUGGACAAUGGUAGGAGAGCGUUCUAAGGGCGUUGAAGCAUGAUCGUAAGGACAUGUGGAGCGCUUAGAAGUGAGAAUGCCGGUGUGAGUAGCGAAAGACGGGUGAGAAUCCCGUCCACCGAUUGACUAAGGUUUCCAGAGGAAGGCUCGUCCGCUCUGGGUUAGUCGGGUCCUAAGCUGAGGCCGACAGGCGUAGGCGAUGGAUAACAGGUUGAUAUUCCUGUACCACCUAUAAUCGUUUUAAUCGAUGGGGGGACGCAGUAGGAUAGGCGAAGCGUGCGAUUGGAUUGCACGUCUAAGCAGUAAGGCUGAGUAUUAGGCAAAUCCGGUACUCGUUAAGGCUGAGCUGUGAUGGGGAGAAGACAUUGUGUCUUCGAGUCGUUGAUUUCACACUGCCGAGAAAAGCCUCUAGAUAGAAAAUAGGUGCCCGUACCGCAAACCGACACAGGUAGUCAAGAUGAGAAUUCUAAGGUGAGCGAGCGAACUCUCGUUAAGGAACUCGGCAAAAUGACCCCGUAACUUCGGGAGAAGGGGUGCUCUUUAGGGUUAACGCCCAGAAGAGCCGCAGUGAAUAGGCCCAAGCGACUGUUUAUCAAAAACACAGGUCUCUGCUAAACCGUAAGGUGAUGUAUAGGGGCUGACGCCUGCCCGGUGCUGGAAGGUUAAGAGGAGUGGUUAGCUUCUGCGAAGCUACGAAUCGAAGCCCCAGUAAACGGCGGCCGUAACUAUAACGGUCCUAAGGUAGCGAAAUUCCUUGUCGGGUAAGUUCCGACCCGCACGAAAGGCGUAACGAUUUGGGCAC